UACGUAGGGUGCGAGCGUUAAUCGGAAUUACUGGGCGUAAAGCGUGCGCAGGCGGUUUUGUAAGCCAGAUGUGAAAUCCCCGGGCUUAACCUGGGAACUGCAUUUGGGACUGCAAGGCUUGAGUACAGCAGAGGGGGUAGAAUUCCUGGUGUAGCAGUGAAAUGCGUAGAUAUCAGGAGGAACACCAAUUGCGAAGGCAGCUCGCUGGGACGUUACUGACGCUGAGACGCGAAAGCGUGGGAGCAAACAGG
rnacentral:rRNA from 1 species